GAGCGGCAGCACAGAGAAACUUGUUUCUCGGGUGGCGAGCGCCCUUUUGGGUGACUAACGCCUGGGAAAUUGCCCUGAUGUGGGGGAUAACCAUUGGAAACGAUGGCUAAUACCGCAUGAUGCCUACGGGCCAAAGAGGGGGACCUUCGGGCCUCUCGCGUCAGGAUAUGCCCAGGUGGGAUUAGCUAGUUGGUGAGGUGAGGGCUCACCAAGGCGACGAUCCCUAGCUGGUCUGAGAGGAUGAUCAGCCACACUGGAACUGAGACACGGUCCAGACUCCUACGGGAGGCAGCAGUGGGGAAUAUUGCACAAUGGGCGCAAGCCUGAUGCAGCCAUGCCGCGUGUGUGAAGAAGGCCUUCGGGUUGUAAAGCACUUUCAGUAGGGAGGAAGGUGGUAGUGUUAAUAGCGCUAUCAUUUGACGUUACCUACAGAAGAAGCACCGGCUAACUCCGUGCCAGCAGCCGCGGUAAUACGGAGGGUGCGAGCGUUAAUCGGAAUUACUGGGCGUAAAGCGCAUGCAGGUGGUUUGUUAAGUCAGAUGUGAAAGCCCCGGGCUCAACCUGGGAAUUGCAUUUGAAACUGGCAAACUAGAGUACUGUAGAGGGGGGUAGAAUUUCAGGUGUAGCGGUGAAAUGCGUAGAGAUCUGAAGGAAUACCGGUGGCGAAGGCGGCCCCCUGGACAGAUACUGACACUCAGAUGCGAAAGCGUGGGGAG
rnacentral:rRNA from 1 species